UGACAGUGAUUGACCAUUGGCAGCUGGGUC
rnacentral:piRNA from 1 species